CCUACGGGGGGCAGCAGUGGGGGAUAUUGGACAAUGGGGGCAACCCUGAUCCAGCCAUGCCGCGUGUGUGAAGAAGGCCCUCGGGUUGUAAAGCACUUUCAGUGAGGAAGAACGCCUGGUGGUUAAUACCCAUCAGGAAAGACAUCACUCACAGAAGAAGCACCGGCUAACUCCGUGCCAGCAGCCGCGGUAAUACGGAGGGUGCGAGCGUUAAUCGGAAUUACUGGGCGUAAAGCGCGCGUAGGUGGCUUGAUAAGCCGGUUGUGAAAGCCCCGGGCUCAACCUGGGAACGGCAUCCGGAACUGUCAAGCUAGAGUGCAGGAGAGGAAGGUAGAAUUCCCGGUGUAGCGGUGAAAUGCGUAGAGAUCGGGAGGAAUACCAGUGGCGAAGGCGGCCUUCUGGACUGACACUGACACUGAGGUGCGAAAGCGUGGGUAGCAAACAGGAUUAGAUACCCUAGUAGUC
rnacentral:rRNA from 1 species